CGGCGACUGAAGGACGUACUGAGGGGAUUUCAGCCGAGGAGAAGAGGGCCGGUCCAGUGACAAGAGAUCCUAAUCACAGCAGCCGAGAAAACAUCUACACGUGUGAGGAACGAAGGAGAAAAAGAGAAAUGAAGAUGUAGGCUCGACGUCUGAGACGCAGAAGGAUCCGAGCGUCUGUCUGCUGACCUCAUGUUAUUUCUGUUCUGUUUCUUAUGCAACGAACGAGCAGAAGCAGCACUCCAGGAGACUGAAGGACGCUGCUGGAGGUCAAAGGUCAAACGAGGUGGAAACAGAAGAGAACUCUCAGCAUUGACAUCUAUCCAUCCAUCUAUCUAUAUAUUUUAAUUAUAAUUAUUUAUUAUAUUGUCAAUAAAUCUGUAAAUAUAUUAUUUAAUAUAUUAAACAUUAUAUAUUAUUAAUAUGAUUUAUAUUAUUAAUUGUAAUUAUUAUUUACUGUGUUGUAAAAAAAUUAAUCUAAGAAUAAUCAUCAGAUUUAUCAAUAAAUAAAUAGAUCAAAAUCAGAAAUUAAACAUGAAAAAUUAUCAAAUACUUAAUUAUUCUUAAUAUUUUUUUUCAGUAAUGAUAUUUUAUACUAUAGUAUCUAGUGGUUAAAAAAACAGUAGCAAAGUAUUUAAGCAUCAUGAUUAUCAUGAUGAUGAAAAUUUACUAACAACCAAUAAAAUCAUGACCAGUUUGCAUUCAGUUUCAAUGCAGUUUAUACAGUAUAUAUAUAUAUAUAUAUAUAUUUGAAGUAUAGUCUCAGUAAACUACUAGAUUACGUGUUAGUAUCUGCUGUUUCUUUAUUUUUCUUCACUUGUGUUUUUUUGGGAAAUUCUGUGUACUAGCGCCCUCUACAGUAUAACAAUGAAAACACAGAUUCUAGGAGUACAGCUCAAAUAAAUUUGGAAUUUUUGUAAAUAUAAAUCAAGUAUACUUAAAAAGUAUUUUUCUGAGAAGUACAUAAAAAGUAAACUAAAAGAUACGUUCCUAUUUGUAGAUUAAAAGAAGUAUACUAAUAGCACACUUGAAUAAACGUCUUUUUCAUAAGGGUUGCUUAUUAUUAUUAUUAUUAUUAUAUAUAAAACCCCCAAAAGUUAUACUUUUAGCAAAUGAAAAGGCCCUUUAAGAGUGAAAUUAAUAAGCCUCAGGCUGAAAGAACAGCCUCUCAAGAGCUGUCAAUCAAUAAAUGUCAAAACAAAGUAACUUGCAUUAGUUAUCUGAAAAAGUGCAAUUAAUUUAAAAGUAAUGCAUGACUUAAAGCAUAAUCUGAUUACCCCCAACCCAGCAUUGGUGUUUCCUGCAUGAAUGUUACUCAUCAGGAGUGUGGAGUGUGUUUUUAUUGUUGUCUCUGUCCACAGACGAACCGCUCUAUUGUUGCGGCCGAAGAAAAAGCCUUUCAUUUGAAGAACCUUGACUCACACUGCUUCCAUGAGAGCUGUUAUCAUAGGCAGAGCUCUACAGGAAACUCUGUUUAUCACUUCCUUUCAGUCGUAGUUUGUUUAGGGCUUCGUUGUGUGAUCAGAUUGCAGAGAGAGAGCGACGCAUCGGAGGAGAACACCCACAGGAGCUGCUAUCAGCCGCCGCAUAUGUCUGUGUGUAUGAAAACACGCUCUAUCACAGGACGACAGAUCGCUCGCUGUCUCGUUCAACUACAGCUUUUUGUAGAGUGUGAGGGAUUUGGAAAGAGGGGAGCGUUUCACUUCUGCUUUCUAAAUGAGCUGAGAGCAUUCAGCCAAGACACGGUCAUUUCAGAACGGAGGAGAGGCACAUCGUUGCACACUCAAACAGAGAGCGUUCAGAGAAGUGAUCCGUCUGUCUGCGAGUGUGUGUGUGUGUGUGUGUGUGUGUGUGGCUGCAUAUAGUGCAUUGUCAGUGCAGAUAUAUGGGCACUUAAUGACACAACACAGAAAAGCAGAACAGACAAUUGGACCCGUUUUAAUCAUCUGAUAAAUUUCCUUUUCGGACUGAUGCAACAUGUGGGUAAUUAAAAGAAAUAAACGAGGAAUUCUUCAUUAGAGAGCAGCUUCAUUCGUGUCAAUGGCUGCUGCUCGGCUGGAGCAGGACCCGCUGGAAACAGGGACAGAGCCAUGGGACUUUCUGAGCCAAUCAGCUGAGGCGUUAAUGUCAUGUGACUGUUCACUCUGCACUGCUCUCAAAGUUGAAAAUAAAACCAGGAUUAUUGGA